CGGGACACGUGGUAUCCUGUCUGAAUAUGGGGGGACCAUCCUCCAAGGCUAAAUACUCCUGACUGACCGAUAGUGAACCAGUACCGUGAGGGAAAGGCGAAAAGAACCCCGGCGAGGGGAGUGAAAAAGAACCUGAAACCGUGUACGUACAAGCAGUGGGAGCCUCUUUAUGGGGUGACUGCGUACCUUUUGUAUAAUGGGUCAGCGACUUAUAUUCUGUAGCAAGGUUAACCGAAUAGGGGAGCCGAAGGGAAACCGAGUCUUAACUGGGCGUUAAGUUGCAGGGUAUAGACCCGAAACCCGGUGAUCUAGCCAUGGGCAGGUUGAAGGUUGGGUAACACUAACUGGAGGACCGAACCGACUAAUGUUGAAAAAUUAGCGGAUGACUUGUGGCUGGGGGUGAAAGGCCAAUCAAACCGGGAGAUAGCUGGUUCUCCCCGAAAGCUAUUUAGGUAGCGCCUCGUGAAUUCAUCUCCGGGGGUAGAGCACUGUUUCGGCAAGGGGGUCAUCCCGACUUACCAACCCGAUGCAAACUGCGAAUACCGGAGAAUGUUAUCACGGGAGACACACGGCGGGUGCUAACGUCCGUCGUGAAGAGGGAAACAACCCAGACCGCCAGCUAAGGUCCCAAAGUCAUGGUUAAGUGGGAAACGAUGUGGGAAGGCCCAGACAGCCAGGAUGUUGGCUUAGAAGCAGCCAUCAUUUAAAGAAAGCGUAAUAGCUCACUGGUCGAGUCGGCCUGCGCGGAAGAUGUAACGGGGCUAAACCAUGCACCGAAGCUGCGGCAGCGACACUAUGUGUUGUUGGGUAGGGGAGCGUUCUGUAAGCCUGCGAAGGUGUACUGUGAGGUAUGCUGGAGGUAUCAGAAGUGCGAAUGCUGACAUAAGUAACGAUAAAGCGGGUGAAAAGCCCGCUCGCCGGAAGACCAAGGGUUCCUGUCCAACGUUAAUCGGGGCAGGGUGAGUCGACCCCUAAGGCGAGGCCGAAAGGCGUAGUCGAUGGGAAACAGGUUAAUAUUCCUGUACUUGGUGUUACUGCGAAGGGGGGACGGAGAAGGCUAUGUUGGCCGGGCGACGGUUGUCCCGGUUUAAGCGUGUAGGCUGGUUUUCCAGGCAAAUCCGGAAAAUCAAGGCUGAGGCGUGAUGACGAGGCACUACGGUGCUGAAGCAACAAAUGCCCUGCUUCCAGGAAAAGCCUCUAAGCAUCAGGUAACAUCAAAUCGUACCCCAAACCGACACAGGUGGUCAGGUAGAGAAUACCAAGGCGCUUGAGAGAACUCGGGUGAAGGAACUAGGCAAAAUGGUGCCGUAACUUCGGGAGAAGGCACGCUGAUAUGUAGGUGAAGCGACUUGCUCGUGGAGCUGAAAUCAGUCGAAGAUACCAGCUGGCUGCAACUGUUUAUUAAAAACACAGCACUGUGCAAACACGAAAGUGGACGUAUACGGUGUGACGCCUGCCCGGUGCCGGAAGGUUAAUUGAUGGGGUUAGCGGUAACGCGAAGCUCUUGAUCGAAGCCCCGGUAAACGGCGGCCGUAACUAUAACGGUCCUAAGGUAGCGAAAUUCCUUGUCGGGUAAGUUCCGACCUGCACGAAUGGCGUAAUGAUGGCCAGGCUGUCUCCACCCGAGACUCAGUGAAAUUGAACUCGCUGUGAAGAUGCAGUGUACCCGCGGCAAGACGGAAAGACCCCGUGAACCUUUACUAUAGCUUGACACUGAACAUUGAGCCUUGAUGUGUAGGAUAGGUGGGAGGCUUUGAAGUGUGGACGCCAGUCUGCAUGGAGCCGACCUUGAAAUACCACCCUUUAAUGUUUGAUGUUCUAACGUUGGCCCCUGAUCGGGGUUGCGGACAGUGUCUGGUGGGUAGUUUGACUGGGGCGGUCUCCUCCUAAAGAGUAACGGAGGAGCACGAAGGUUGGCUAAUCCUGGUCGGACAUCAGGAGGUUAGUGCAAUGGCAUAAGCCAGCUUGACUGCGAGCGUGACGGCGCGAGCAGGUGCGAAAGCAGGUCAUAGUGAUCCGGUGGUUCUGAAUGGAAGGGCCAUCGCUCAACGGAUAAAAGGUACUCCGGGGAUAACAGGCUGAUACCGCCCAAGAGUUCAUAUCGACGGCGGUGUUUGGCACCUCGAUGUCGGCUCAUCACAUCCUGGGGCUGAAGUAGGUCCCAAGGGUAUGGCUGUUCGCCAUUUAAAGUGGUACGCGAGCUGGGUUUAGAACGUCGUGAGACAGUUCGGUCCCUAUCUGCCGUGGGCGCUGGAGAACUGAGGGGGGCUGCUCCUAGUACGAGAGGACCGGAGUGGACGCAUCACUGGUGUUCGGGUUGUCAUGCCAAUGGCACUGCCCGGUAGCUAAAUGCGGAAGAGAUAAGUGCUGAAAGCAUCUAAGCACGAAACUUGCCCCGAGAUGAG
rnacentral:rRNA from 1 species